UACGUAGGGUGCGAGCGUUGCCCGGAUUUAUUGGGCGUAAAGGGCGCGUAGGCGGCUCGGCACGUCCGUUGUGAAAUCGCCCGGCUCAACUGGGCGGGGUCAGCGGAUACGGUCGAGCUUGAGCAAGCUAGGGGGUAAUGGAAUUCCCGGUGUAGUGGUGGAAUGCGUAGAUAUCGGGAGGAACACCCGUGGCGAAGGCGGUUCUCUGGGACGGUACUGACGCUGAGACGCGAAAGCGUGGGGAGCGAACAGG
rnacentral:rRNA from 1 species